rnacentral:misc_RNA from 1 species
GAUGAAGAACGUAGCGAAAUGCGAUAAGUAAUGCGAAUUGCAGAAUUCCAGUGAGUCAUCGAAUCUUUGAACGCACAUUGCGCCCCUUGGUAUUCCGAGGGGCAUGCCUGUUCGAGCGUCAUUUCAACCCCUCAAGCUCAGCUUGGUGUUGGGCUGCGCCAGCGUUGCUGGCGGGCCUUAAAAUCAGUGGCGGUGCCGUUUGGGUUCCAAGCGUAGUAGCAUCUCUCGCUCUGGAGACCCGGCGGUUGCUUGCCAGACAAUCACUAAAAAACAAAGGUUUGACCUCGGAUCAGGUAGGGAUACCCGCUGAACUUAAGCAUAUCAAUAAGCGGAGGA